rnacentral:lncRNA from 7 species
AUAUCACAACUGCAAUAUGUGAGUUUGGUCCUUUUGAAAAUGAUGUGGCAAAACUGUGGUCAUUCAGGUCUUCCAAAGAAAUUUGAUUAUGUAGGAAUACUUCCAGAAUAAAUGUUUUGGAUAAUCACUUAAUACAUUAAAACAGAGCUCCCAUGAAGGAAACUCUCCUGGAAUCCUCAUGGGAAACUAACUUUGCCUUUGUAUGCUAUUCAUGCUUUUCUCCUGAGCAAGAGCAUGGUGAUAACUUCUGCUGGCCAAUGGAGGCAUUUUGCUUCUGUGGAACGAUGGAGCUUGACCUAUGAAAAAUAUAAAUCAUCCCUCCAGAAAAAGGCUUUCCUUCUCACCCUAUUUGCACAGCUGUGAUCAGCAGAGUUUUUUGAACAGAAGAUCACUGUCUUUAAGGAAGCAAUGCUCACUAUAGGAACCUUCUGGAAUUCACAUUUGUACUGGGUCCCCAAAUGUCUAAUAUGAUGAACUUCCAGGGGCAGCCCACCAUAGUGAGCAAGCAUUUGAAGAAGGUUUGACUUUGGCUACGAGAUAAGGAAAUUCAAUCAUUCUGUAUGUACUGAGUUUUCCUCAUUUGACUGUAUUCUGGAAUGUUCAGCUACUCUUAUUUACCUGGGUUGACUUUUAAGCUCUCAUACAGGUAACUGGCAGUUAGAGACCUGAACAAGUUACCUGUGCUGUUUUAGAUGGCCUGUGGUAACUGAGACACAUCACAGGUCAUACAUGUGAGAGAACAAACCAUGCUAUUCUGAAAGAGUACUUGGGUACUCUAUUGCCACUUUAGACACCGAUAUUCAAAUACUUGAAUGUCAGACAUUUUCUUUUCUCUUUUUAGCAUGUAAUUGUUUGGAUUCAUCUUUCUUUUUUGGUGAUUUUUGUUGUUUUGUUUUUUCCCUAGAACAGGUCUUAUAUAUCAAUACAUUUGCUUAUCCUUAUGCUGGGUUCCAAGUUUUCUUGUCCAACCUUUACUAGAUUAAAACCAUGAACACUUUGGGUAAUUCUUUCUCUUUUAACUGUUUCAUGUUACAUCUUUGUAUAUAAAACAGUAGCUGCAUCUAUCUCACUCAGUACACAUUCUCAGAACUCAUGAGGAGAUUGUCAAAAUAUAGUAAGAUGUAGGCCACUUUUUCAUCUUUAUCAAUGCACUUAAUCAAUGGUGUUCUGUGUCCCUGAUUAUAGUUAUGUGUCACUAAAUGGAUAGGUCUCAGCAGUGGUUUCUGAGCCCUGAAAGAAGGCCUCUAAACAUCAUCCUGUGCCCUAGCACACACAUCUUGUCUGGCUUUCACCGUCUUCUCUGAAAGACUGAGAUGUUCCCAGAUGUUCCCAGUCAGAGCUGCCAGCUCAGCAGUCCACCAAGAGCCAACAGAGAAUUUGAAAGUGCAAGAAAACUUGUAAUUUAGGUGCCCAAUUGGCAUACAUAUGAAUUCUUUCACCUUGAUCCCUUCCCAUGAGGGGAUUGGUAGCUGGGUAGCCUGCAUCUUUUCUUCUCCUGUCCUUGAGAUGAUCUUAAGGUUUUAUAUCUGAACAGUUUCCAUAAUAAUAAAGCACACUGAGCUCUGGCCACAGAAGCUUGUCUUGUAUACAGUACUCUUAAGAGUACUGCUUAACCCUACAGCUCAGGUCAUCUGUCAAGGGUCUUCUGUGCAUCUUUAUUUUUACCAGGCAUUUCAUCCUGUGACCAGUUGUUGGGGUAAAGUUGGCUUUGUCUUUGUUGUACGUCACAAAGUUGUAUAUUUAUUUAAUACUGAAUUCUUAGACU